rnacentral:tRNA from 2 species
UCCAUUGCUCAGUUGGUAGAGCACAAGGCUCUUAACCUUGUGGUCGUGGGUUCAAGCCCUGCGAUGGAG